rnacentral:rRNA from 1 species
GACCUCAGAUCGGGCACAGGCUACCCGCUGAAUUU